rnacentral:rRNA from 1 species
AAGUUAGUGGCGGACGGGUGAGUAACGCGUGGGUAACCUGCCUUGUACUGGGGGACAACAGUUGGAAACGACUGCUAAUACCGCAUAAGCGCACAGUACCGCAUGGUACAGUGUGAAAAACUCCGGUGGUGUGAGAUGGACCCGCGUUGGAUUAGCUAGUUGGUGAGGUAACGGCCCACCAAGGCGACGAUCCAUAGCCGGCCUGAGAGGGUGAACGGCCACAUUGGGACUGAGACACGGCCCAGACUCC